ensembl:snoRNA Gm25215 predicted gene, 25215
ACACACAAUAGUUGUCUCCUUCUCCUAUUGCUAGAUUAUAGUGGCUAUGCUUAUGGAGUAGAUGAAAGGUGCCAUGAUAUGAAGAGAGAGGGCUUUUCAGUGUCCUCUAUGAAAUGGCCGGACAUAACACU